CCUACGGGGGGCAGCAGUGAGGAAUAUUGGUCAAUGGUCGGGAGACUGAACCAGCCAAGCCGCGUGAGGGAUGAAGGUACAGAGUAUCGUAAACCUCUUUUGUCAGGGAACAAAUGCGGGGACGUGUCCCCGGAUGAGUGUACCUGAAGAAAAAGCAUCGGCUAACUCCGUGCCAGCAGCCGCGGUAAUACGGAGGAUGCGACCGUUAUCCGGAUUUAUUGGGUUUAAAGGGUGCGCAGGCGGUCUGUUAAGUCAGCGGUAAAAGCCCGGGGCUCAACCCCGGCCCGCCGUUGAAACUGGCAGUCUCGAGUUGGAGAGAAGUAUGCGGAAUGCGCGGUGUAGCGGUGAAAUGCAUAGAUAUCGCGCAGAACUCCGAUUGCGAAGGCAGCAUGCCGGCUCCACACUGACGCUGAGGCACGAAAGCGUGGGUAUCGAACAGGAUUAGAUACCCGAGUAGUC
rnacentral:rRNA from 1 species